AAAGUUUGCUGCCCAAUAAAUUCUAAGUGGUAAAGGGUGUGUGGAAGCUUUCAACUUUAUCUCAUGUACCAUUAGAAUCACUAUGACUAUGUUGGUUAUUGCUUGAAACAACCGAAAAAGUGCUUCUAUUUGUUUCCAUGAAGAAAGGUUAUUGGUUUGAGUAAAAGCCAAGAUUCCUAGAACAGUGUAACUUAUAGCCAAAAGGGUAGUUAACAAAAAGGCUAGUUUGAACCAAAAGGUGAUUCUAUAGUCAGAAUCGUUCUUUUGCAGAAGUGGUUUUGUGAUUAAGGAGGUAGAGUUGGAACUUGAAUAGAAUCUUGAAUAGAGUUUUUGAGCUGAAAAAGCUAAGAGGGAGAGCAAAAACAAGGAAUCAAGAGCAGAAAGAAGAAGUCUCUGAGGACAAGGAGAUAGGAAAAUGAACCUUAACCAUUGAAGUAUGAAUUGUGGUGUAGAGGAAGAUGAAUGUAUAGGUAAAAGGGUGCAUGAAGGAGAAGUUAGCCAUGCAGAAGAAGAAGAAGACAUGUUCUGCUAUGUUAGGAGAGAAUGGAACAGAGACACUCUUAAACAAAAUAUAAUAAUUUUAAAUGACAACUAUACUCCACGCAAAUUUGUCCACGCUUGGCACGAGUCUCAUGAUGUCUUUAAAAAUGCUUUUCAUAAUUUUUACUCCCUCUGAUCAUUCAAAGAAAAAAUGUAUAAAUAAAGGAGAGAAAAAAAUGGUUUUAAAUGUAAGUAUUGGUGCAUUAUCCACUAUCAUAAAUACUAAAUAGAAUAUACUCCAUCCGUUUCUUUUUAAGUGUCACUUUUGAAGAAAUUUUUUAUUCCUGUUUAGUUGUCACUUUCAAAGUUCAAUGCAACAUUAAAUGUUAUUUUACCAAUAUUGUCCUUAAUUAUUUAUUGCGGAGAGAGAAAGUAUAGCUUAUUGCAUCAAAAUUAGUAUCAAUUGUUGAUUGUCUUGGUUUGUGUAAAUGUCAAAAUGUGACAAUUAAAAAAGAACUGAGGUAGUAUUGAAUUAGGAGUGAUAAAAGUAAUAUUAAUUACAGUCAUGAAGGGAAAAAAUAAUUAAUAUUGUAUUGAAAAAUAAAAUGACUCAGUUAUUUUGGGACAUUUUUUGACAGUUAUUAUGGAACAGAUGGAGUAAAAGAUAAGGGUCAUGUUAAUUUAUGCUCUAAAGGCAGACACAAGUUAAUCAGCUAUAAAAGGAAUAAGCGAUAAAUUUUGUAUUGAAAGUAUAAAUAUUUGAACUUUUGUAACGUUGAAUACUCAAUUUUAAAAAAAUAAUAAUUUUAUCUUUAAUUUUUUAAGGGUACAAAAUAACAUUUUACUAAAGGAUAUAUUUAAGAACAACUUUAUUUAGAUGGAAUUUAUAAUUAGACACUAUGGAAGUAAAAGUGUUGACCGUAGUAAAAAAAAAAAUGUUGACCGUUGUUGUUAUUGCUGCGUCUGCAUGAGAGUGAGAGCAUCCUGACUUGUGCCGGCUAAGUCAAUCUUGAAAAGAGUUAACCAUUGUUGCAAUUUAAAAUUAGGUUAUACUUGUGCUCUAUAGAUAGUAUAUCGUAAGUUAAAAUUGUAUCUUAUAAAGAUACUUGUUAAAAUUUUAAAAAUAGUUUUCUCUCAAUUUUUUUUUAAAUAAUUUAUUAAGAAAAUUAAGUUUUAAAAUUUUGAUAAAUAAAUUGAUAGUACUAUUUUUAAUACAUAAUUUCUAUCUUCGAUAUACUAACAAUAACAUGCUCUAAGGACAUAUUAUUAAUUAUGAGUUUUUUUUUUAUGAUGGGCAAAUCUGUACAUAUUAAGAAAUUUAAAAAAGUAAGUUUACAUUAGAACUUGUGCGUUUAAUAAUAAAUAUGUAUCAUUUUGUCAAAAAAAAUAAAAAAAAUAAAUAUGUAUCAUUUUAAUAAAUAAUUGUUUUUUUUUGUCAAGUAGUUUAGUGGCUAGAGAAAUUCACCGAAAGAUGAAUAAAUGGGGUGUCUGGGGUUCAAACUCCGACCCCACACAUAUUAUGUUAUCCCUUACUAAAUGAGCUAAGCUCAUGGAGACUAAUAAAUAAUUGUUUUAUUUCAAUAAAAAAUUUCUACUUUUAUUACUUUAACAUCUGCAAUAUUUGUAUGUUAAACAAACCAAUUAAUUAUAAGUUCCACUGCCUUUCAAUUUUUUUUUUUAAGUUCCACUAUAUUUUUUUUUUUAAAGAACUAACUGCAUUGAUUUGAUCGCCAUCAAAUGUUGAUUGCCUCAUUCUUGUAAUUAUUAGUGGCCCACAUCAUUGUUUUGUCCCCAACUAUUUAUCUUUUUGUCACGAGUUCUUUCACAACACUUUUUAAAGAUUUUAAAUUGAUUUUUUUUUAGGAAAAUAUUACACAAACACCCUUUAAUCAUACACCCUAUUGUACACCCUAUAUAUUAAAGAUAUUUUGGUAAAUUCAUCUCAGAGUCAUACUUUCUCUUUCAUCUCCUCUCCCUUUUCCUUACCACAUGUGAGGAUUUUAUGUGGGUGUAAGAGGUGUAUUGUCACAUAGGGGUGUACAUGUAUCAUUACUUUUUUUUUUUUUUAAAGUUAAAUAUUACUCCAUUCGUUUUAAAAUGAGUAUCAUUUUAGCCAAAAAAAUUAUUUCAAAAUGAAUGUCAUUUUCAGUUUCCAAUACAAUAAUAACUUUUUUUUUUCAAUUGUACCCUCCAAUUAAUACACUACUUUCAAAGUAUAACUUUUAAAACUAACCAAUAGUUAAUAAGGAUAAUUUGAUAAAAUAAUAUCCUCUUUCUUUUAAUCAUUGCAUUUCUUAAUAUGUGUGUAAACUCCUAAAACGACACUCAUUUUAAAACGGAGGAAGUACAAAUUUUAAUACUAUGAAAACACAUAAUUUUGUACAACAUUAUUAUUAAAGGUCCUUAAAAAGCGUCCAAAGACACUCGUUAACAUUUUCUUUAUUUUAUUUUAGGAAAAGGUGUGAUUAAGACAUUUCAUUCAUAGGGUUUUUUUUUUUUUUUUUUUUUUUUUUUUACAUUUUUAAAUAUUUGAGUACAUAAGUUCCAUUUUUUUUCCUAUACUUGCUUCCUUAACUAGUUUUACGAGAUAACUUAUUAGCCUUUUCCAUUAACAUAUACUUAAUCCGUCCUUAUAUACGAGCCCUCUUUAUCUUUUUCACAUUUUAAUUUCUUUUUUGAGGGGUUAAAAAAAUUUGUAGUGCUUAAUGUCCUUAUUUUACGUGAAUAUUACUAAAUUGUCAUUUGUUUGAAUGUAUUUUAAAGUUGACUUUUCAUAUUUUAAGGCAAAUCAAUAAGAUUGGUGCUAGUCACACCCAAAAAAAAACAAGUUACACCCCAGAAUGACUAAUAUACCCUUUAAUUAAAAUAAAAAUUUCAAAUCAACUAAAUUUACAUUAUCGUAAAUUGAACAUAAGUAAACUUAAUUUACAUUAACCUAAAUUGAACCUAAGUAAACUUAAUUUACAUUAACCUACAUUGAACGUAAGUAAACUGAAUUUACAUUAACCUAGAUUGAACGUAAGUAAACUUAAUUUACAUUAACCUAGAUUGAACGUAAGUAAACUGAAUUUACACUAACCUCUUAUAUACAUACGUAAACUAAAUUUACAUUAACCUACAUUGAACAUAAGUAAACUUAAUUUACAUUAACCUAAAUUGAAGAUAAGUAAACUUAAUUUACAUGUAAACUUAAUUUACAUUAACCUAGAUUGAACGUAAGUAAACUUAAUAAUUUACAUUAACCUAGAUUGAACGUAAGUAAACUGAAUUUACAGUAACCUCUUACAUACAUACGUAAACUAAAUUUACAUUAACCUAAAUUGAACAUAAGUAAACUUAAUUUACAUUAACCUAGAUUGAAUGUAAGUAAACUGAAUUUACACUAACCUAAAUUGAACAUACGUAAACUUGAAUUUACAUUAACCUACAUACGUAAACUACACUAACCCCUUUUAUAUACAUACACGUAAACUUAAUUUACACUAACCUCUCACUUAAAAUCAAAUUGACAGGCAUAUCUCAUACCAAAACAAACAAUAAAUAAAUAGAAACUCAUCGAAAAUGAAAUUCACUAACCUUUAUGAAUAUAGUACAGAUCAAUAACAAAUAUGUUAAUUCAGAUAUUGGUUGCACAUCUAUGGUGAUUUGUGGAUGAAAGGGGGUAAAGGUUCAGAAUGAUCAUAAAAGAUGGGUUUUUAAAAAUUUACAUGAAGAGGACAAUUUUGGUAUUAUUGUAAAAUUUUAAAUAAAUUUAGGUGUAACUUGUUUUUUUUGGGGUGUGACUAGCACCAAUCAAUUAAUAAUAUUAAUUAGGGGUAUGUUUAGAAAAAAAAAUAAUUACAUCUAAUAAUUUGUAUAAAUCUUUAUAUAAAAGGACAAAUUUCUUUCUCAAUAAAUACUUAUAAUUAGGGACAAAGGAAGUGACUUCAAAGCUUAAAGUAUUAAAAAAGAAAUGUUUUGAAACUGUCAUUUUAUUAAGAGUUUAUAGUUUAUUUAAUUAGCUUAUAGAUUAGGUUUAGGUUUAAAUGCUCUUUUGGUCUUUAAGUAUUUAAUUGAUAUCGCUUUGGUCCCUUAACUAAAAAAAAAAAUUGUUUGAGUACUUUAAGUUUUUUUUUAGUCUCGUUUUGGUCCCUUCUGUUAGGUUUCCGUUAAGGUUUAAAAAAAAAAAUUAACUCCUAGACACGUGUCACCUUGUCAUUGACUCUGACUUUUUUUGUUUACAAAAAAAAUAAUUCCAAAGUGACACGUGUCCCAGAGUUAACACGUGUCACCUUGUCAUUGGUUAUGAAAAUUUUUUACAAAAAAAUAAAAUAUAUAUAUUAAAAAAUAUUUUUUUUUCUAAAAAAAUAAUAUAUUUUUUUUUGUAAAAAAAAAAAUCUCAGAGCCAAUGACAAGGUGACACGUGUCCACACAUAACGUUUUUUAUUAAACCUAACGAAAAUCUAACAGAAUGGACCAAAACGAGACUAAAAAAAAACUUAAAGUACUCAAACAAACUUUUCUUAUUUAAGGGACCAAAACAAUAUCAAUUAAAUACUUAAGGGACCAAAAGAGCAUUUAAGCCUAAAUUUAAUUUUAUCAUGUCAUGUUUAAUUAUUACUCCCUCCGUUUCUUUUUAAGUGUCACUUUUGGAGAAAAUUUUUGUUCCUAUUUAACUGUCAUUUUCAAAGUUCAAUAUAACAUUAAAUGUUGUUUUAUCAAUAUUGUCCUUAAUUAUUUAUCGCGGAGAGAGAAAUAUAUGAAAUGAGAUAUUAAAUGAAUAAGGUCAUUAUAGUAAAAGUAUAGCUUAUUGCAUAAAAAGUAGUAUCAAUUAUUGAUUGUCUUUUUGUAUAAAAUAUCAAAAUGUGACAAUUAAAAAGGAACGGAAGUAGUAGUCACACUCAAAAUAGUUUUUCUUUUUUGAGUGGUAUCCUCUCUAGUUGAAAGAUGGAAGCUUUGUACGGACCUUACUUACAUCAUUGCUUGGACCUUAAUUCCAUCCAUCGCCAUGCCUGAACUCAAAACUUGAUCGUCUAAAUAAUCUACCGCCAAGAGCGAACAAAACAUGAUUAACUAACGUCUUUCAGUCUGACUCUAAAUGUUGGAAAUGUUAGCGGUCAACAUUCGAUGGGAUUUAGUCCCAUGUCGGAUAAAUAUGAUUCUUGAGAAGAGUUUAUAAAGAGGAGACACUCCUCACCGUACAAGUCGGAUUUGUAAGGAUGCGUUAAGUUCGAUAUUCGGUAUAUGAUAUCAUAGCUUAUCGGGACUAUCUUUGGGCUUCCUACAUCGUCCACGCUUCAGGCCCAUUGGGCCGGGCUGAAGCGUGAGGGGGUGUGUUAGAGGUGAACACUUGGAUAGAUAAGAUUCUUGAGAAGAGUUUAUAAAGAGGAGACAUUCAUCACCGGACCGCGAUAUUCGUUACAGGAAAUUAGUGGACUAACAUAGGUUGUAAACUAAUCUAUCGUAAAAUAAAGGCUUAAUAGCAGUUUUUCCUCCUAAGUAUCAUGAAGUUGCGAUUUUGGCCCCCUAACAAAAUAAAAUACAAUUUAGCCCCUUAAGUACUGCCUCUUUUGCAGUUUUGGCUCCUAGGCCAAUUUUGACCUAAAAUAGACGUGGCCGCCACUGUAAUUUAUUUAUUUUUUAUUUUUUUAAAUAUUUUUUAUUACUAUAAAAAUAAUAAUAAAUAACAAUAAUAAUAAUUUUUUAAUAAUUAAAAAAAAAAAAUUACACACGUGACGUCCAUAAUACUUAGAGGGCCAAAACUGCUAUUAAGCCUAAAACAAAAUACGAGCACAAACUGGCGGAAAAUCCAAUUCAUCAAGCGUUGGAAUUUUGUCGGGGCAUUGGUGAGUUGUCUUGUGUCUAUCCUCCUCCUUAACAAGGAUUUGUUGGUACCCGUUAUGAAGAUCAAGCUUGGAAAACAAUUUAUCCAUAUAAUUUCAGUGUAAGCGCUAGUGGCAGUUCCAUGACCCUGGAUAAGAGGGUGCAAACUUUUUUACACAUAUAUAUAUAUAUAUAUAUAUAUAUAUUUUUUUUUUUUUUGUGUGUCUGAGAGAGACCAAGUUUUAAAGUAGUGAUUUUUUUUCUUAUUCCAUCAUUAAAAUCAGCGCAACUAAGUUGAAUAAAAAAAAAUAUCAACACAAUUAGUUAUUUUAACACGAACCAACACUUAAAUAAAACUCAUGUUAUUAUUAAAAUCAAUGCAACUAAUCAUUUUAUAGGUAAAAAUUAAAGAGGAGAAAAGAAAUCAUUAAAAAUCACGUUGAAAAGGUAAAAACAAUACCAUUUUAAAACAUACAAAAUAUUAAAAAAAAAAUGAGAGACUGAAAGAAAAAGAAAAAGUAUUCGAAAAAAGGUUAUGAUCAAUUGACACAACGGUGUCAAACUUAAUCCAGAACACUUCACAUAAUUCUUUACCACAUAAUAAAAUUCAUCGUUGCAUUGAAAGUUAUUAUCACAUUGUUUAUGUUUACAAAAUUUGACAUUAUUUAGAUAUCAUUUGAUACGUUACCUAGAUACAUAAAUAUUAACAUGUUUGAUAAAAAAAAAUUAAGACGUUAAUAUUGAUGCAAGUCGUUGACAUAUCAAACAAUAUUUAAUGUCAAAUUUUAUAGUAAUAGCUUUCAAUUCAACCAAGAAAUUUGUAAUAUGAUCAUGUUGGUAAAGAAUUAUCGAAUGUGUCAUAUAUUAAAUUUGACUUUGCAGUAUCAAUUGGUCCUAUACUUAAAAAAAUAUAUGAAUUAUUGAGUAGUUAUAUAUUGUGUUUUCAAAGAUCAAACACAUAACUUUCAAUUUGGGUGAAUUUGGCUUAGUGGUAAGGUAUUAUUAUUUGCUACUUGUAGAAAUUGUGUUUGAUUCCCUUCCCAAGUUCUACAUUUUAGCCUUAAGAUUUAUACAUAAUGUAAAUGAUAAAGUAAAAUUAACAUGUAUCAGAAUGUGAAAAAGAUAAUCGGCAGUUGGUGAGGUGCAAAACUUUACUGUUAGGUAAGGACCAAAGGACAUGCGGUGCAAUGCAAGUGCAACCCAAAAAUUCCAGGGUAUGCAAAAUAUAAUAAAACAAUAUAAUUGGUAUAAAAUUUAAGAUCUUAGGGUGUGCGCAGCUGCACACCCUGAAGUGCACUUAACUCCGCCCUUGGUAAGCGCCUUAUAGUAUGCCAUAUGAGGCUCCAAGGUUGCCAACCAAGGAGGUGACCCUAAACUUACAUCAGCCCCGGCCAUGGAAAGAAGAAACAUUGGUACUAAUAAGGUUUUUUUAGUUAUUUUUGGCAGCACUUGUUUAUAAUGCAAAUAACUACUCUAGCUAUGAGUUUGACAAACCUGAUGAAAGAGGAUUUCAAGUUUCCUUAGCACGUGGUAAGUAUGCCAGUUUUAUUAAACAGAGACCGCGCUUAAAUGAUUUACGUUUGUAUUCACAAGAUAUAGUUGUGUUGGGAUUGAAUUUCAGUAACUAUUCCUCGUAUGUUUCCUUUUAAUCGAUUGUAUACUUUUUAUACUUCAGAUAUUGUUGUGAAUCCGGUUAAAACUCACACCAAUGAAAACAAAGGUGUGUGGAGCAAGAGAUAGUGGUAAUCAAUGGGCAAAAUGGUUUCCAAGCAAACAACAACAAAAACAGCCCUAGACUAAUGUAGAGCAAAACCACACAAAGAGAUAACAAAGCAAAACAAGAUAAGCAAGAAAGGAAGAACAAAACACCAAGAAGAUUGUUGACCCAGUUCAGCCAAUAUGGCCUAAUCUGGGGGAGAGAGCAGCUCUCCAAUCCAAUAUGAUGAAAGUGUUACAAAGGGUUACAAGAAACAAUAGCCUUCAAGCUUACACAAGAACAAGCCCUAGAUUCUACCCAUAUGUGUUUCCCCACUCUCACAAUAUGAACCCUAAAAGAGAAGACACUAGAGGAAGCUUUAGAUCCUUCCAACUAAUGAACUCCUCACUACCCAAGGUGAUUACAAUGUUUUUCCCAACCCAAGAGACACUAUCUACAAAGACGCUCAACCCUUUGGUUCCCUCCUUUGUAAUCCAAGUUUCUCUCUCUAAGCUCUUCCAAGCUCUCUCUAAAAUCUGCACAAGAACACAAUAUAUACUAGUCUUCCUCUGAAGAAAUCGUGCCACGAUUUCCAGAUCGUGUCACGAUUUGCGUACAACCCAAGGUAUGACCAGUCCUUAUCAGUGGUACUUAACGAGCAAGUUUCUGAAUCGUGUCACGAUUUCCCAAGAUCGUGCCACGAUUUGGCGUCCUGCAAACUAGCUCACGGCACCUCGAGAUCGUGUCACGAUGCCAAAAUCGUGUCACGAUUUCUCUGUUCUUCCAGACCACAAAUUUGAAGCCAAUAUCAACAGAUAUAAUUUCAGCUUUCCCUCAUCGUACGUCUCCGACUAAGGUUAACGGCACAAGAUCCAUAAAACAACCGAUUUUUGAUGCAUGACAGCCAAAUAGCCUAUUGUUUCUAUGUCAUAAGCUCGGAAAGUUAUACACGAAUAUAAAACUACCCGCGAUCUCUCGGGCGAUAACACCUAUACAUAAUUUAAACCAUGUCCUUUAGAUAGUCAGAAUUACUAGGAUUUCUAGCGAAUCGGUCAUUUUUAGAUUGACCGCGAGAAAUGAUUCACAAGGAUUUCUCGUGAAUCAGUCAUUUUUGAAAGUGUCGUUUGAAAUGCAUGCUUCAAAUUUUGAAUUGUAUGGGCAAGUCUUAUGUUUACCACUAAUUUGGAAUCAGACCAUGAAUGUGCAGUUUAUUCAAAACACAAAAUUUAUUUCAUACAUUCCAAGCCAAUAACAAAACUAAUAAUGAAUCACACCUAACACACUUCUUUGUAAGUAGAUAAUGAAAUAUAAAGAUCAUGUGUGGACUUGAACUCACAUAUGACAAUCUUGCUAACAUCUUGAUAUCAAGUUAUGCAUUCAUCCAAGCUUAUUACUUCGAAAGUAUUUAAGCAUGGAUCAAUAAGGUUUUUAAGGGUUGUAAUGAGGCUUGGUUACAAAAGAAUUUCCAUUUGUAUGGACAUUUGAAUCAAAGUGGCCUUAUUAUAAAGGAGCCUUCAUACAUUUACAAAACACAUCUCAUUUUUUAUUUUUCAAAACCUUAGGUGAUUAUGAUAGUUUGAUACAACUAUACUUGAAAACUUUGCCGGCCAAUAAACGACAGAGUUAAAACAAAACAUUGCCGGCCUCCUAUGCAUUUAGUAAAAACAACUGAAAGAUUCCUCACAUUUUGGUUUGGUUCUAAGUGACUCAUGCUAAAAGAAUGUUAUUGUGGAGCAAUGCAUGAAAUGAUUCUGUAUAAUGUGCAAAUUUCACAUGCAAAAUAUCAUUCAAGAAAAGCGGUAAAUAUGUACCUUGACUUUGCACAAUCUUUUCAAAGAUGUUAUCAUAUCAUGCAUUUGCUUCUGAUUCAUUUAAUGUCUUUGGACAAAUUUGAAGCUUUCACAUUCAUUUAUUCAUUUAAACAACCAUAAAUAUAAACAUAAACGAAACCGGUUGUCUUAAAGUUAUUACACCACAAUUAAACAUAAAAUUCAAACAUAACACAAAGUUAAACAUCUCAUAUACGAUGUAGUCUCACCACAUUAAAAGAUCAAAUUAUUUAACAUAACACAAACAUAAGUAAAUAUCAAAGACUAAACAUGAAGGAGAAUUAUAAACUGAAAAACAUCAUAAAAACAUAUCACUUGGUAUGGCGUGCUUUCCGUUUUACUCGAUCUUUCUCAAGAGUCUUUUAUACUCUUACUCUUUUGGAUCCACUUCAAUGAAGUCAUUUCCUUGGUCCAAUCAUGUUCCAUCAUCAUCACUUGUUCCAGCUUUAGCAUGAUCACCUUGAGCAUUUGCUCUGACCCUCUCUGGAUAAAAUGGCAUGUCCACAGGCCACUGGACAUAGGCAUUGUAGGAAUCCAGGUUGAUCACUGGAAAGUCUCUGGUUCCUGGAUUUUGCAUUUGUAUCAGCAACCUGUACAUAUAGCCAUUCAAACUAGUAAGGGAUCUAUUCUGGGUAUCGACUAUAUCCCAGCUAUGUGUAAAUGAUGCUCUAAUACGUGGAUCCCUUCUACCAGAAUGAGAUUUUCUUUAGGUCCUUUUUUUAAAACCGUGUUUGGUUGAAUUUAUGUUUUCUGCAUUCUGUUAUGGUUAUGGGAUAUUUCAGAUUAUAUAAGUCGAACAUAAUAUAUAUGUUUAGACUUAUAUAAUCUGAACAGUAAGUUUUUACGCCCCAUGCAGACGUACUUAGGCUACAUGGAGGUAUGGUGUUUGGGGCAUUUCGGAUUGUAUAAGUCGAGAUAAAUAUAUAUGUUUUGUCUUAUAUAAUCUGAAACAAUUCUCAAAACCAGAACAUAAUACGUUUUUUUCGUUUUCUUCUGCACUCCAACUAACAAUUUUGUAUACAAUCUAGUACCGUUCAAAGAUCUAGUUGUUUAUGAAAGAACAGUUUCAACAGUUUAUUUUUUCCAGAGACAACCUCUAUGCGUCCACCUCCAAAAAAAAAUCAUUACAAAAGGGGCCCCCAAAGAAGGAUACACAUAUUGUACGCUCAACAAAGCAGUCACCUUCACUCUAGGAGCAUGUUGACUCUCGGAACCCAGAUACCCAGACUUCACAGACCAAGUCAAUAGGGUCAACUAGGAAAAGUGCACGUAAAAGUAAUAUGUCUCCUAAUCCUCCUAAGCCAUGUCUGGGCAAAGUCAAUUUCUCCAAAAGAAUUAAUCCAGUCGUUCAUGCAUGAAUUUAUUGAAAAAGCGGCGGACGUAGUGAUGGUCAUUGUAGAUUCCAUACAGUUGCAGGCCUACGCAACCCGUCUGUUGAUGAUUAUCAUAUAAUCCAUUAUCAACUUCUAAAAGAGCUUAACGGUGAAGAUAGUGUCCGUUAUCGCCGAUUGAUUGAGUCGGAAAAUCGCUUCAAGCAGAUCUUACACGCCCUUACCAGUGAUGGUAUUGGUCUUGCUCCACCGAAAAAAUGGAUGAUCAUGACGGAUAUGAGUUUCCUCAUUGCACAUAGAUACAAGCAUGUGGUGGUUCUAUUGUCCAUCGAGAAAGGGCAAUUGAAAACCUUUUUCCCUCUACGUGGUGAACCUUCACAUAGAGAUUGAAUGUUGUGUCAAGCACAUGUGAAUAACAACCAUUUUAUGAUGAUAUAUUUGAAGGAUGGUUAUCCAAUUCCUUCCACUUCUGUGCUAUGGAGACAACAUUGUCGAGAAUAUGCAAAAAAAUGGGAUGAAAGAUAUGUCGGUAGAAUGAUUGCCAAUAAUGGACUAAGUCUGUCGGCGUGUUAUGAGGUAAUAUGAGAUGAUGAUUUGUAGCUUGUUGAAAACAUUAACCUUGAAGAGAAGGUUGUUGGCUUGCUUCUCAUAAGAAGCUCGGAGAUGGAGUCAAGAUUGAAAAGGAUGAAAGCCCUAUCCUUAAUGAUUGUAGUAUGGAUCUUGGAAUAGAUUAGUCGAAAUGUAUAUCAUUAUCAACUGCAUAAUGAUUUUUUGAUAUAAUGAUUUUUUUAUAUAAUUAUAAACUCCAUCUUUUAUAUUUUUUAUAUAAUUAAAAUUUGUUGAAUCCACAAAGACAUCAAAUUUAAGCACUUUUGAAUUUCAUAAAUUGAACGAAAGGUAUUUUCAAGAGAAAAAAUAGGGCCACAAGAAACCCAUAAGAUAGAAAAAAAUAGUAAAAAAAACUAACUAUAAUCUGCCUCUAGCAGCAGAGCAAGAUCAAUGCACAAAUAAAUAAAUAAUAGUUUUUCCUCGCAUAUUAUUCUAGAAUUUGAAUGAAUGAAGUUUUAUUUUGCUGUCUAAAAAAAAAAAUGAAAUGGUAGAGAACUUUCAUGAUCCGAAUAAAAAAAGUUUUGUUAACGAGUGUCCCAUGACAUUCUUUAAGAAUCCCAAAUUUAGUAAUUAUUCUUUUAAAAGGUUAACUAUUACAAUUUUCAAUGCAUUGAAUACACAACUUUUUAUAAAAACUUUUUUUUGAUCAAAACACUAAAAUAUACUACCUCAAUUCCUUUUUAAUUGUCACAUUUUGACAUUUUACACAAACCAAGACAAUCAACAAUUGAUACUACUUUUGAUGCAAUAAGGUAUACUUUUACUAUAAUGACCUUAUUCAUUUAAUAUUUCAUUUCAUAUAUUUCUCUCUUCGCAAUAAAUAACUAAGGACAAUAUUGGUAAAACAACAUUUAAUGUUGUAUUGAACUUUGAAAGUGACAGUUAAAUAGGAACAAAAAUUUUCUCCAAAAGUGACACUUAAAAAGGAACGGAGGGAGUAAAAGACAAGAGAGACCUGAACCGAUACAGCACAAUCACAAAGUGAAAAACCUAUGAAAAGAAAAAUCAAAUCUAUCCCAAGAAGGAAAGGUCUUAAGGAAAGAGGUGUCAAAGACCACCAUUGCAGGGAAAAACUAGACAAAUAAUGACCAUUCUUGCCAAUCAACUGCUACAAGACUACCCUCUACGAAAAUUUGAACAAAAGUAUUUAUAUUCCCACUUAUUCUAUUGCAAUUGAACCAACUAUUAUGUAUCUGCCAAGGCAUCUUUGGAGGUACCCUUUUGGACACGAGUGCUCAUUCCGGCUGAGUUAAAGCUAGUAGGCUUCAUUUUGUUCAUCUGCUUCUUCUUCUUUCUCUCUACCUUAGUACUCUCAGAUAGACUUGGAUAGUGCUGCUGAACCAUAUAAAAUACUUAAAGAGCGCUCGGGACACUGGUUAACAUUUUAAAAAAUAAUAAUAGGACCUAACAUAAAAAAUGACAGAGAACUAUAACUAUCAUUAAGCUGAUCUAUUAGAAUACUCCUUAACCAAUGCUGCAAAAAGUGAAGGCCUUUCAAGCAAACGUGAUGGCUUGUCAUAUUCCUUUGCAUAACCUGCCAAAAACAUCAAAUACCCCACAAUUCAUUAUUCAACCAAUCUAACUCUAUAUAUAUUUAUUUCGUACAAUAGUUGAACGAUUUUAAGAUAUAAACAGCAAGUUUUUUUGUCAAAAUUUUGGUAAUAGUAGAAACUACAAUGCUAAAUGGUUUUUUAUUAAUAUGACACUUCAAAUUGAAGGAUGUCUUGUAUAUGGCAACAAUAAAACACUGUCAUAUGCGAUUAUGUUCAAUAACUUCUGAUUUUUUAAAUUGUUGUCUCCUGGUAUGUGUAUGUGUUUGAAGUUUCUCAACACAUAUGGAUAUAUAGCAUAAACAUACCUUCAUCUAUGACCAAAACCUUGUCACAAUCCAUAACUGUUGGUAUUCUAUGAGCAAUGCUAAUGAUUGUACGAUCCGCAAAGUCUUCUCUGAUGAUCUUCUGUAAUACAACAUCAGUUUGCGAAUCAACUGAUGCUGUUGCUUCAUCCAUGAAUAAUAUUUUGCUGCGUUUUAGCAUGAUCCUUCCCAAGCAUAGAAGUUGCCUUUGCCCCACACUCCAAUUGUCUCCACCAUCAACCACUAACAAAAUAAUAUAGUAAGCACAUUUCAGUUCAAAUUCGAAUAUAGUCUAUGAAGGAGUAGUCCAGUGAUGUGUGUCGGGACGCUGAAUAGGUAUUAAGCUUCUGCCGACAAAUUAAUCACCAACAUUUAUCUAUAAAAAAACUUCUAAAACAUGAGAUUUAUGAGUUGAUUUUAUUUGAUCACCUAAAGCGUCAAGUUUCUCAGGCUUUGCAGCCACAGCAUCUUUCAAUUGGCACCGCUCAAGACUCUGCAGAAACAAACAUAAACAUAAAGUUAUUAGAUAUGAGAAGGUAAAACUAUUAACUGAAUUUCAUUCACACAUGUAAUAUCUUCUUUUUCUCUCUAUUUCUCCCUUUUACAAUGCACAAACAAUGAUGCAAGAAAAUAGUUGAUGUAGGAAAAUCUCAGCCAUCUGAUUUUGAUCAGUAAUUUACAAUAAUAUUGAUUUAUUUGUUGGGUUUUAAAUCCGGACCUUCCAAUUUCAAUCAAGCGAUCUUCAAUGUAUUGACAAUCAAUAGAAAUAUUAAACCAUGUUAAAAUAAUUUCAGCUAGGGCUUUGUUGUCCUCUUUAUUGGUUAUUAUAGAGAUGUUUAAAAGAACUUAUCUUAUGACAUAAACACUUGUGUAAGUAUUUGAGUGUUGAGUAUGACUCUUAUUCUUAGUUACCGAUAAGUAGAAAGGUUGAUCGUGCGAAGCGAGAUAGACCUCCCACUGGGCUAAGUCUAAAGGUUUGUUGGGUUGAGACACGGGUGUGUGGGGGCCGAAACCUCCUUGCAUUAUGGUUUAGGAGUAAUUUUCUACUUUGAACCGUAGUAUUUAAAUACAAGUUGUAUACUGUAAACUCUAAUCUUUCACUAAUAGUAGAAAUGAACUGUAGCCUCUUUACAGCAGUCGGAGACUAUUGGCCGAACUUUUAUUUUAAUACACUGCAUAGUUUAUGAUAUGUCCAUAGACUAUUUUUAGUUGAUUUUCAUUAGCUCUCGAUGAUAACUGAAAUAAGACUUAUGCAGAUUCUGCCUUAUUUCAUCUUCAAUUAUAAAAGCAGCUUAUGUCUAAGAAGUUCUAAAAAUAAAAAAAAUAAAAGAUUUUUUAAUUAAAAUAAAACAAACAAGCAAAUAUGCAGUGUAUUAUAUACCUUCCAGAUUUCUUCUUCUGAAUACAAGCCAAGAGGAUCAAUGUUGGUUCUUACUGUUCCUUGAAAGAGGACAGGCUCUUGUGGAAUAAUUCCAAAACGCGACCUCAAAUCAUGAAGGCCAACAUUGGAAAUGUUAAUACCAUCAAUGAUUAUUUUUCCAGCUGAAGGCUCAAUCAACCUAAAUAACACUUGAAUGAGUGUUGAUUUUCCACUUCCUGUACGGCCAACGACACCGACUUUUUCUCCACCUUCAAUUGUUAGAGAGACUCCCUUAAGAACUAGAGGAGUGUUUGGCCUAUACCUAACCUGCUCACACCAUUUAAUAACGAAAUAUAUUAAAUAUGUACUUAAAGAAUGCAUGUUACUACUGUUUCAAAAAAAAAGAAAAUAAUGCAUGUUACUAUGAGAAAUUCUUGAUCAGUACCAUUGCGUAGAAAACUACUACCGUUUACUUUUGGUGUUUCCAAAAAUAAUGGUAUUUCCUGUUUCUAUCUCUACAUCAUAUUUUACUUUUCAACAAUUCAUGCUUCACAAUAUUCUCAAUUCUGAACUAAACAUAUUGUCCUAAAGAGUAACCAACAAAUGCUUCUUUUCCCAAAUGGUAUACACUAAUUUUGGUUGAUUUAUGCAGGUCUCUGUUCUCACCACAUAUUAAAUUGACUAAUCUUGCAAAUAGUAUAUACCUGUAAAUUAUGUAACUCUAUAGUGCCAUGACUAGGCCAAUUCUGAGGAGGAGACUUGUCAGCAAUUUUCCAUGGAGCUUCUGAUGAGAGGUUAGUAAACUGUUUUAUCCUCUCAACUGAAACCAUUUUGUUCUCAACAUUGCAAGUCAUAGAUAUGGUAAUCGACAAGAGACCACUCAGAGCCAGGCCAUAAGACAAAGACAUACCAACAUAUUCUGCAAAACCAAAAUUAUAUCCAAGUGGAACAAUUCUUGUCAGUAGGACAUCUUUUAUAUUUACCUAAAUAUUAAAAGUAUGGGAUUUGCUAGAACACACCUGCUAGUUUUUGUAAAGGGUAUUUUAGCAACAUGCACCUUAGAGUCUAUUCAACAAAUUUUUAGUUAUCACUUGCUAAGAUACUCCUAAAAAAAGAGUGGGUGUAUUUUAACAAAUAUCUAUAUGAGCUGUUAAUUUACGCCCACUUAUUUUUUAAGAGUAUUUCAGCAAUCAGGGUGAAUUUAACCAUUUUUUAGUUAGUACUUGCUAAAAUACUGCUUCUAGAAAAAUAGUAUAAUGAGAUCAAGUUAUUUGAGUUUAGCUACCAACGUAAGCACUUGAGGGACUGUUUGGAAGAGUUUAUGGAAACAACUUAUGACAUAUCCAUACAUUGUUUUCAGCUUAUUUCUAUAAGCUGUCAAAGAUAGCCUGUGAAAACAACUCAUAACUUAUAUGAAAACAACUUUGACUUUAUUUGAUGUUCACUAUAGAAAUAGUUUAUACAUAAGCAUUUAUACUCUAAGCGCUUGAUAAACCUGUAUAUCCAAACAGAACCUUAGUUCUUGACUAAAAUGAUCGAAAUAGGGUUUUAAAAAAAGUCUCAGACUGUGAUCUCUUAGCCACAACGUUAAGAUUUUUUAUAUUUCUGUGAUUGCAGUCGCGAUCAAGGUCACAUCAGCCGCAUUUGACUGUGUUUUGCGACAAAAGGACCACGGCAGUGACCUUUGCUGUGACAGGGUUUUAAAACCUUUUUAAAAUAGUGAUUGUUCAUGAUACUUGUUAAAUGAAAAGAUGAUGAAGGGAAUUAUACCUGGCCUAGCAAUAGCACUUGGCAAAAAGAUCAUAAAAAGCGUGGCAAUGCAAAGGAAAGUCACUCCCAUAUAGUCCAAGCGAAAACCAAGCCAUUCAUUUGCACCAUUGUUAUGAAAAUCCAUUCUUAGACUUGCAUUCACCCUGUCAACAUUUUCUUGAGAAAAUGCAUUCUGCUUUCUUGAGCUACGGAUUGUCAUAACACCAGAAAUGGUCUCUGAAAAGUGAUGAAUCACUGGAGCUUUUGUGAUUGAAUCAAGUCGAGUCAAUUCCCUAGAAGUUGCAAGAUAAUAUUUCUGCAAACCAAAAUGCACCAAAAUAAGCACUUGUAAUACUGUUUAGGAGAUCUUGUGAAACAACUUUGACAUGUCUAUAAGUUGUUUUUAGCUUAUUUCCACAAGCUCUUUUUGGUUGCUGAAAACGUAAAUAGGAGUAAGUAUAUCAUACCCUAUACCAGUUGCUGAGCCAAAACAGUGGAAUUAAUAGGAAGACGGUCUCCCAAGAAUUCUGGCACGUGACUACGAGGAUACUGAAUAAUCCUACUAAUGUUGUCGUCACUAAGUUUACAAAGAUUGGAAUUUGUAUAUCCAGGGAAAGUAUAUCGGUAGAUACCUAAACAAUUCAUAACAUGAGUAGAGUUAGCAAGUCCAACAACUACUAUUUAAAGAAGAGAUGUGUUAUUUUGACAUAAAAUGGGACAACAAAAUUCGACAAUGGUUAUCAUUCAAAUGCGUGGUUUAUUGCAUUAAUUAGAUGGUUAAUGAAUAUUACAAGUUGUUGCAACUCAUUAUUCAUCCAAAAAACACAGUUAACCAAAAAAUUUAAGUUAUAUUUGAACACAAAUUGUGGCUCACACAUAUCAUGUAUAUUAUAAAACAACAAUAAUUUGAACUUGAACAUAAUUUGGAUGGUUAUAAUAAAUAUCGUAUAUAUUUUAAACACCUGAAAAAUCUUGGUUAACCCCAUGCAGAUAUGUAGUUAAUUACGCUAUGUGGAUGAUUAAUAGGUUGCAACACUUUGUUAUAUUCAUUAAUCAUCUAUUGAACGUAAUUAACCAAAUAGUUGUCGAUUUCUGUUGUCAAAUUUAUGCAUCAAAAUAUCAUUUCUCAUUCAAAGAAUAGGCUAGUUUACUAGAGCAGAAAUUGAAUGAACUCACACGACUCAAAAUUCUUCCAGAAGGAGUAGUAUCAAAGAAUGACAUUGGUGCAUGAAGGAUACUUUGAAGCAUUCCAACGAAGAAGCUUUGAGAUGUCUUUAAACCCCAAUAUGUAAAAAAGAAAGCUCUUGCCAUAACCACUAUACAUGACACAACAGCUAUAACAGCAUAGACAGUAAUGAAAGUGAAAGAAGAAACGGCAGAAUCAUCUGCAGUAGCAAUUGCUAGCCAAUAAUCACUAACCAAAAAUGACAGCAUCCAAACUACUGAUACUGCUACCAUUAAUGCUACUCCCCACCAUCCAAAUGCUUCUGUGAAAUAUUGUUUGUAUACUUCAAGAUUCACUUGUCCAAUUUCUCUUUCCUCAUCUUCAAUGAGCUUUGCUGCAGUUUUAUCAGACUUGGAUUGAAUUUGAGAAGACUGUUUUUCUCCGCUUUCUUUUUCUUUUGAAAUGACGCGGGCGAGUUUUGGAGAUUGAGCGGAAUCAUCACUAGUUUUCUCACUUGUUUCUGCUAUUUCCAUUGAGGAUUCAUGAGCAGCUACAAGUGCACCAAAAUCUAGGCCUGCUUUGAGAAGUUCAUCAUACUUUCCACUUUGCACUACUCUCCCUUCUCGCAUCACCUUUGAAAUUGGUAUCAAAACAAGCCAAGUUUCUCAGUUGAACUUGAAAAAACUUUAAUGUUUAAGGUUAUUUAUUGCAAACAAGUUAUCAGUUCUCAGCAAUCUCAAAAAUGAUGACUGUGAUAGAUUAACAGUGCAAAAAAAUUACGCUGAAAGUGUAUAAAAAUUAAUCUAUAUAUUUUCCCCCCUGAUGAGUGUGAUUGAUUAACAGUGUAAAUAUUUUACGCUGAAAGUGUAUAAAAAUUAAUCUAUUUGUUUUUUCCCCCUUAUUUGGUGAAAGGAUUAUAAAAUACAUGUAUAACACCAUUGAUUAACACCUACAUCAUGAGUAUUGUCACUCACUAUUGGUAAGAUAACUUGGGAGAAACUGAAUUGAACUGUCAUUUACAUAAAAAAUCAAACAUUUUAGGGACUUGUGAGCAUAUACAUACCAUUAUAGAGUCAACAUUAUGCAAGAAAUCAACUUGGUGUGUUACAAGUAAAACUGCCUUAUCUUUGAGAGUUCCCAUGAUACAUUCCUGCAACAAAAAUAGAGAAUCAGGAACUUCAUUCGUGACUGCAUUAGAAAAAAACUGACGUUAUCAUUUUGAUUAAUAUAAUAUAAUGUUUCUAAAAUGAGAAACAUCGUUAUAUCACUAAAAACUAGAAAAUUAAGCUAUUUAGCACUUCUUGUAAGUUGUAACUUUGUGCUUACCUUAAAAAUAAAUGAUCCUGUUUGAGCAUCAACAGCACUGAAUACAUCAUCAAGGAGAUAGAUGUCACUGUCCUGAUAUACAGCUCUAGCAAGUUGUAUGCGCUGUUUCUGGCCGCCACUGAGGUUAAUACCGCGCUCUCCAAUCUCGGUUUCGUCACCAUCUUCCAUCAUUACAAGAUCCUUUUCAAGGCAGCACACUCUUAGAGCUUCCUUGUACUUUUCCAUGUUCAUUGGCAAACCAAACAAUAUGUUUUCUUUGAUGGUUGCAUUCUGAAUCCAUGAUGUUUGUGCUACAUAUGCCGUCGUCCCACAAACUCUAACCUGUAACACAAAAUCUUUUUCAAUACAUUUGAAAAGCAUAGUCAUAAAUUCUUGCAACAAAAACAGUCUCACAAAUGUUUAUGCUAAUAGAUAAGCUCAAAUAAACCAGUCUUAAUAGGCCUUACACCUGAUAUGAAUGGUUCAAUUUUUUCCCAUGUGUCUUAGAAGAUGAUGAACAAAACAACCUUGUGAAUGUCAUGAAUCUUAAAGAUCAACGUUCAUGUUCUCUAAUAGUUAUAUGAUAUGCAUGUGCCAAAUCCUAUCCUAGGACAUGAAACAUAUACUUUUUUUAACAUGAAUGAAUUAAUACCUAGGUUUUAGACUGUGAUCACUGUCUCAGUAGUAGAAAAUAGAAAAUGAAGACAAGAAGGCCUAAUGCGAUAGAGUUUUGCUGUUGUAGCUGCAAUUACAGUUUUUAGCGCAACAAUUUCUAGCCUGGAUGAACCAAAUACAAAACUUUUUUAACUCUCCAGUUCUCAUGGGAACAAGUCCCUGAUAAUCCGGAGUUCAGUCGGGAGGUAAUUAAUGUUACAGUCAUAAUUCAAACUUGGAUUCUCCAAAAUGAUACAAAAUACUAUUCUUUUGUGCAAGAUGAAGAAAAUAACCUGAAGUGUGUUGAUUGUAAAAAAAAAUUCACGAGUCCAAGGCAAAAAAGCAUACCUUUCCUGAGAUCUUGAACAUUUCCCCCAACACAGAAGCCAGUAAUGAAGACUUGCCUGAUCCAACAGUUCCUACAACAGCAGCAUGGUCCCCUUUCUUAAUCACCAAUUCCUUAACUCGCAAAGCCUCAUUCUCAUCCAUAUCAUCCCAAGAAAAUUUCCCAUCUUUUAUCUCCACAGCUACAUCACCAUUACAGUUCUCCUCUCUUUGCACUGCAUUCUCAUCCAUUUCCUUACUCAUCAUGAACUUAUCCAACCUCCCUAAUGAUAUCGUUGCUUGCGAAAUAUUGAUAAGAGCCUGUGGAAAAGUACUCAUAGGCUCUUGAAGUAUCUUGAUCACUGCAGUUACUGUGAAAACAGUGCCAGCAUUCAGAGGAAUCCCCAUAAAAGUUGCAACUCCAAAUGUAAGAACAGUUAUAGCUAAAGGAGAAGUAGUCAAAACUCCCAUGUUCACAGCAAAAUAGUACAAGAAUUUCCCAAUCCAUCCAUGUUCGGCUUCACGAAACUGUUGAAUCUUGUUCCCGAAGUACUCUUCCCACGCUUGAAAUUUAAUCACACGCAUGUUGUUAAGCAACUCAUUCGUUGACUUCAUUCUCGAAUCGCGGCUCAUCAUUAUCCGAAACUGAAAAACAUUACUAUUCUUCGAUCGAUAUGCAGUGAAGCAGAAGACAAUGGCAGUACCAAGAAUUGCUGCAACGACAGAUACACCAACAUAGCUAUACAUAAGAGCCAAUGCAGCGGCAACUUGUAAUGGCAUCAUCCAAAUAGGAUGAAACUGCUUCAUCAAGUCUGAGAGUUGUUGAGCAUCAACAGCCAUGUGAUUCACAAUCUGUCCAGUUCCAUGAGCCUGUCUUGAAGAACUUGACAACCUUAAACCCUUUUUGUAAACCGAAGUGAUUAUGCUCGAGCGAACAAGCAUACCUAGUUUCUGAGAAUGGAAGUUGAAUUGAUGAACACUAAGUACUUCAACAGAUUUUGCUGCAAAAAGGACACAUAUCAAAACAAUACCUUCACUAGUCGGACUAUCUUUCUGUGAUGUGAAAUCAACAAAACUCUGAAUCAGCAAUGGACCGACAUACAUAACACAAAGCCUCAUGAAUGCAAGAAAGCCAGUGAAAACUAUGUGUUUCCAAAAACACCUAAAAAGGGUAACUCCAACUGGAUGCUUACUGUUUUCCUCUGGUUUCGGCCAAUUGUUUUGAAAAAGUUCAGACAUUUUUUCUGCUCUAAAAUCAAGAGGAAGUGAAGGAACAUCUUCUAGUUUAAGGGGUGUUUGGUAGCCUUUAUUGAGUAAAGGAUUCAGCCAAAACCACCCUGUUUUGGACAAAAAUGAAGAAUGGGCAUAAGGACUCAAAGUUCUAUCGAUUGAAAUCGAUGGAUAUGUGGCUACUACAUCGGAUAUUCUUAUCACAUGAAUACCUGAUGACCCUUUUAUUGAUAUGACAAAAAAGAACACAGAUAAUGGAAGAUUAACCAAUGAGAAUAUGUCAUCUAUUCUCAAACUAAGCUCCAACUUUUCUUCACGGACAGUUAUCAAUCGAACAAUAGCCGAAACAGCAAACAAAGUAGCAAUCACAAAGUUUGCUAUCCAAUAGAUUCUUAGUGAUAAAGGGUGUUUGGAAGAUUUGAACUUUUUCUCAUGUAACAUUAGAAUCACUAUAACUAUGUUGGUUAUUGCUUGAAACAACCGAAAAAGUGCUUCUAUUUGUUUCCAUGAAGAAAGGUUAUUGGUUUGAGUAAAAGCCAAGAUUCCUAGAACAGUGUAACUUAUAGCCAAAAGGGUAGUUACCAAAAAGGCUAGUUUGAACAAAAAGGUGAUUUUAUAGUCAGAAUCUUUCUCUUGCAGAAGUGGUUUUGUGAUUGAGGAGCUAGUGUUUGCUCUUGAAUAGAAUCUUGAAUAGAGUUUUUGAGCUGCAAAAGCUAAGAGGGAGAGCAAAAACAAGGAAUCAAGAGCAGAAAGUAGAAGUCUCUGAGGACAAGGAGAUAGGAAAAUGAACCUUAACCAUUGAAGAAUGAAUUGUGGUGUAGAAGAAGAUGAAUGUAAAGGUAAAAGGGUGCAUGAAGGAGAAGUUAGCCAUGCAGAAGUAGAAGAAGACAUGGCUAUAAGAUUAUGGAAUGAUAAUUGUUAAGGUUUCAUAUUAUUUGUUAGAAAAUAUGUAAUGAGUUUGUUGCAGAAAGUAUGAGAGACAGAGCAUGUAAUUGUAUAAGACAGACCCCCACAACUAUAAAUUACCACGCGUUGCGCGAGUUUCACGAUGUCUCCCACUAGAUCCUCACUCAACAAUUUUAUCAAUUUUAUCAUUUUUUAUGCAGAUCAUCAGUCAACAAUUUUAUCAUUUUUUAUUCCUUCUUUUUGUCUGCAACUAAUUUUUGUUUCCCAUUCUCUUCAAGAACUCAUUUUUCAUCCAAAUGAAGGAAAAAAAUAAUGUUAACAAGUGCUAAAUAUCUAACAAUAAUAACUUUUGUAUACAAAAUUGUGUAGUUAUAAUUUUGAUUUGUACUCAGUAUGUUUCUAUUUAAGUGAACAUUUUGCUCAUUUCACAUUUAUUAAGAAAAAUGUAUUGGUGAAUCAUUUUCUUAAGUGAAAUGCAGGAGUCAGUAUUUUAGGACAAUAUUUUUUUUACAAAAGACUCACUUAUAUUAAGGGACGGAGGGAGUAUUUUCAAGACAAAAUUUCUUUUCGUGGAUUUCUUAAACAAUCCUCUUAGAGCACUUGUUAACCAAACUCAUAAAAGAAUAAAUUAAAGAAGUAAGAGUAAUAAAUGGGAAAGAGAAAUUAUAACUAAUUUUACAGAAAUAUUAUUGGUUAACUGUGCAGGAAAAAUAAAUUAAAGAAUUGAAAAAAGUAAGAGUGUGUUUGGAUGAGGUAAUUGAGAAAUUUUAAAGAAUUUAGAAUUCUAGACAAUUAAAAUGGUUCAAUUAAAAUGCUUUCAUUUCUCAAUACUUUUGUUUGGAUGGAGUAAUAAAAAAUUUCACUGUCAUCAUUUUUGGACAACUUUUAUAAAUUUUAAUUUUUUGGGCAAAAUUUUAAUUUCAAAAAAUUUGAGGGGUCAAAUUAUAAAUUUUGAAUAUUUUGAUGGGUUAAUUUGCAAUUCUUUGAAAAAUGAUUGGGGUCAAUUUGAAAAUUUUGGAAAAUUUGAGGACCAAAAAAUGAAAAAUUAUAACAAUGAAGAAAUUUGAAAUUCUUAACUUUUAGGUGUCAUUUGAAAUUCUUUAAAUUUAACUUGAACAAAAUAAUUCAUAAAUUUUCAUCAUUUUAAAAAUUAUUUAAAUUAUUAUCCAAACAAUGAAAUUCGUAUUUAAAUUUCCUCAAAAAAUUCUCUAUCCUAAAUUAUGAUAGAACUUUCAUGAUCUAGAAAAACAAAUUGGACCUAACAUAAAAAAUGACAAACAACUAUAACUAUCAUUAAGCUGAUCUAUUAGAAUAAACCAAUGCUGCAAAAAGUGAAUGCUUUUCAAGCAAACGUGAUGGCUUGUCAAAUUCCUUUGCAAAACCUAGCAAAAACGUCAAAUACCCCACAAUUUACAUCACCAAUCUAAACAUAUAUAUGUAUUUUUUAAUAAUAAUACAGCAAUUGCAGUAUUAAAAGGUUUGCACAAAUAUAUUUUUCCAGUAAACUAAUGGUGAUAAUAGAAAGGACAAGAUUUUGCUGCAGUUCCUUAAAUGUAAGGUGUGUUCGGUAUUUAAUAUUAAACGUUGCUCGACAUAUAUCAUUGGUUAUGAUUCAAUUUGUUAUGAAAACACAUAUAAAUAGAUAUAUAACAUAAACAUGCCUGCAUCUAUGACCAAAACCCUGUCACAGUCCAUAACUGUUUGUAUUCUGUGAACAAUGUUAACAACCGUACGAUCUACAAAAUCCUCCCUGAUGAUCUUUUGUAUUACAGCAUCAGUUUGCGAAUCAUAACUGAAUAAUAUUUUGCUGCGUUUUAGCAUGAUCCUUCCGGCUAGCAUAGAAGUUGUGUUGAUGAUUGUAGGAAAAUUAUUGUGUUCAUGUCUUUGCAAAUCUUGGGUGUGAUAUUUUUUAUGCUUGGAAAAUUUGGGAUACUUCAUCUUCGUCAUUUACUUUUUGCUGAUGUUGGUGAAGUUGCUACUCCACGUCUAAUUUUGUUGUAAUAUCUUUUAUGGGUUAAUUAGGCUCCUCUUUUUUUUUUUCUUUGGUUAGCUUAGUGGCUAGAAUUCACUUUUUUUAAAGUGAAUAAGUGGGGUGUUCGGGGUUCGAACCUCGACCCCUGCAUAUAACAAUGCAUGUCCCUACCAACUGAGCCAUGCUCACGGAGACAAUUAGACUCCUCUUUAAUUCCAAAAAAAUAAAUAAAAUAAUAUAUCUAUAAUCAUAUUGGUCCUCUAUAUUAAAUUAUUUGCCGUGCACUAAGUUCUUUGAAUCCAACUAAAAAAUCACCUUAAACUCGGUGUUUAGGAGACUUGUAGCUUCCACUUCAAGUAAUUAGAGUAUAUGAGAAUGAGAAUGACUAACAUUUAAAUUUAAAUAUCUGACAUCUCUUACCGAACAAGUUGUUACUAGAAUUGAUUGAAAGCUCAUCAAAUUUUCGUGCAAAGUGCAAAAAAAUAUAAUUCAAUGCUCUAACAAUACUUUUUUUUAGAGGAUUUUCUGUCAAUAGCUGCCCACUACUUUAUUUGACUGAAUUAAAGUUGCAAAAGAAAAAGAAAAAAAAACGACAAAAUAUCCGGUUUGUGGACCGAUCUAGACAUUUUAGCAAAAGAACUGCACACAUAUCCAGACAUCGACAUUUCCAAUGAUACUUAAUUAAUGCUCCUAGCCAAUUGUUAUUGCGUCCAUUGAAUGGGAACAUUGUUUGGUCAACUAUUGAUUUGCUCGCGCGCUCUCUCUCUCUCCCAUCAAUGUCCUCAUCAAUUGUCAUUAUUCUUACGUGUCAUUUUCGAGAAAAAUUUUGUUAGUGUCACUUUCAAAGUUCAAUGCAACAUUAAAUAUCGUUUUAUCAAUUGUACUUAAUUAUUUAUUGAGGAGAGAUAAAUAUAUGAAAUGAGAUAUUAAAUGAAUAAGGUCAUUAUAGUAAAAGUAUAGCUUAUUGCAUCAAAAGUAGUAUCAAUUGUUGAUUGUCUUGGUUUGUGUAAAAUGUCAAAAUGUGACAAUUAAAAAGAAACGGAUGUAGUAUAAUACACCCUCCGAUCACAAAUAUAAGCAAACAUUCAUGUUUUAGAUUCAUUCAAUAAAUGAUGUAUGUGCCUACAUACAUCAUUUAUUGAAUGAAUCUAAAAUAUGAUUUUUUGCUUAUAUUUGUGAUCGGAGGGUGUACAUAUUAAGAAAAUGUGUACAAGUUCGGCCUUACAAUUUCGACAAUUGUCAGUUUAGCUAGGACUUCUAGACAUUAAUUCCUUUUCAAAUAAAAGUGGUUUUAAGUGUCUUACUUCCUCCGUCCCAAAUUGUAAGACGUUUUGGCCAUUUUACACGUAUUAAGAAAUGUAAUUAAUAUUGCGUGGGAAAGAAAAAUUAUGAGUUGUUUUACAAAAUUAUCCCUAAUAAAUGGUAUGGAAAAGAUAAAUGAAAUAAUUGAAAGAAGAGAGAGUAAUUAAUAGUUAAGGAUAUAAUAGGAAAAGUAACAUAAAUAUUUCAUUGGUAUUGUAAAACGACAUAUAAUUUGGGACAAAUUUUUUUUCUAAAGCGACAUACAAUUUGGGACGGAGGGAGUAUUAAGUAUUUGUGUAUUCUUCAUUAUCAAUCAAAUAUAUUAAAUUGAGAGUGAUAAAAAUAUAAAUUAGAGUUAUAAUUAAAAAAAUAAAUAUUUCAUUAAAAAUUUGUUGCCGCAUUGAUGAGUCCAAAUGAUAUAUAUAACCAACCAUUCAUUGUGUCCAUGAUGGGAACGGAAAGUUGUCUUGUGUCUAUCCUCCUCCUUAACAAGGAUUUGGUGGUACCUGUAAUGAAGAUCAAGCUUGGAAAAAAAAAAAAUUGCUACAUGUAAUUCAUCCACAGUGACCAUUGGGAAGAACUUUUAUCACCCUGUUUGUCACAAGUUUUCCUUGAUGAAAAAAAGUGCCACAUAUGAGGCCCCCCCCCCCCCCCCCCAGCCAUGGAAAGAAGAAACACCGGUACUAAUAAUUCAUUGCUUUGUACUUUGAAAUUGUUAGAGGCAAUUAUUGAACCCAUCCAUCCCUCAGUGAGUUCGUUCUUUCCAUGGGACGUCAAGCACUCCGAAAGACUCUUUUCUGGUUCAACCAUUAGGCUCUUGGAGGUGGAUUAUUUAGGCCAUCAAGUCUCUGGUUCAGGUGUGGUGAUGGAUGGAAGUAAGGUCUGUGCAGUAAUGUAAUGGCCACAACCUAAAAACGUCAAAUAGUUUUGUAUGCUCUUGGGGUUAACUGGAUACUAUCGUCGAUUUAUCAAAUAUUAUGCAACUAUUGCAGGGCCAUUAACAGAACUACUCAAGAAAGACGCUUUUACUUGGAACGAAGAUGCAGACCAAGCUUUUUAUUAAGCUUAAAUAAGCCAUGACAGCAACACCUGUACUUGCUCUGCCGAAUUUACAUAACCUUUUGUUGUUGAAACUGAUGGGUAAGGAACCGAUGUAAGAGCAGUGAUAAAUCAGAACGGCCACCCAGUUGCAUUUUUCUCCAAGAAACUAGCUCCACUUAUAUGAGGGAACUGUUGGCCAUUACUGAGACUUUGGAAAAGUUCCAACACUACUUAUUGGGACAUAAAUUCAUUCUCUGAACGGACCAAAAGAGCUUGAAAACUCUCCUGGACCAAUCCUUGCAAACCCCCAAACAGCAGGCGUGGUUUCACAAAUUUAUGGGGGUAUAAUUUCACAAUUGAAUACAAACCAGGAAAGGAGAAUAUGAUAGCCGACUCAUUGUCUCGAGUUUUCUUCAUGGCUUGGUCCGAGCCAGUACCAUCCCUACUACAAGAACUGCGAAAAGAGGUUGCACAUAAUGUUCAGUUACAAGCUUUGGUGCGGGAAUGUCAAGAAGAGUCUCAGGGGCACUCUCAUUAUACAGAUAGAGAUGGUGUUUUGUUAUGGAAAGGGAGGAUCGUGCUAGCCGCAAACAACACAUUGAUUGAGAAAAUUCUACAGGAAUAUCACUCCUCGGCCUUCACCGAUUGGAGGUCAUGCAGGUAGCACUCGAACCAUAGCUAGAAUUGCAUCAUAAUUUUUUUGGCCUAAAUUGAAGGAAGAUGUGAAGUUGUUUGCAAAAAAUUGCUUAGUUUAUCAAAAAGCUAAGACUGUAGAUGUGUUACCAGCCAGAUUGUUGCACCAUUACCUAUACCACAUCAAGUGCAAGAUGAUGUGGCGAUCGAUUUUAUUACCGGUCUUUCAAAUUCCUUGGAUUCACGGUCAUCAUGGUGGUUAUUGAUAGAUUGGCAAAAUACAAUUUUUUUUGGCUAUGAAGACUGAUUACAGAAGUCAGUCGGUGGCUGCAACCUUUAGGACUAAUAUUGUCAAACUACACGGAGUCGCUAAGUCGAUUAUCUCAGAUAGAGAUAAGAUUUUUACUAGUAAUUUUUUGCAGCACUUGCUUAAGAUGCAAGGCACUACUCUAGCUAUGAGUUUGGCAUACCAUCCUCAAUCUGAUGGUCAAUCGGAGGUCGUAAAUAAGAUUCUCGAAAUAUAUUUAAGGUGUUUCACUUUUCAUAAUCCUAAGGGCUGGUAUAAAGAAUUGGUGUGGGCUAAAUUCUGGUAUGAUACCUCGUUAAUUUCUGUAAAUAUCCUGCUCGAAUUAUAGCACUACAGAAAUGGUAGAACUUUCAUGAUCUAGAGCCAAAAAAAUUGACCUAACAUCAUAAAUGGAAAACAACUAUAACUAUCAUUAAGCUGAUCUAUUAGAAUACUCCUUAACCACUGCUGCAAAAAGUGAAGGCCUUUCAAGCAAACAUGAUGCCUAGUCAUAUUCCUUUGCAAAACCUGCCAAAAAUAUUACUGGUCUUCUAAAUUCCGAAUUCCGUUGGAUUCACGGUCAUCUUUUGGCUAUGAAGACUCAUUACACAAGUCAGUCGGUGGCUGCAACCUUUAGGUAGGACUAAUACUGUCAAACUACACGGAGUCCCUAAGUCGAUUAUCUCAGAUAGAGAUAAGGUUUUUACUAGUAAUUUUUGGCAGCACUUGUUUAAGAUGCAAGGCACUACUCUAGCUAUGAGUUCGGCAUACCAUCCUCAAUCCAAUGGUCAAUCAGAGGCCGUAAAUAAGAUUCUCGAAAUGUAUUUAAGGUGUUUCACUUUUCAGAACCCAAAGGGCUGGUAUAAAGCAUUGGAGUGGGCUAAAUUCUGGUAUAAUACAUCGUUUCAUGGUAGUUUGUGCAUGACUCCCUUUAUGGCUGUGAUGGUCACUAUGCUCCUAAUCUCAACAGAUAUGUGACAGAUAGUAAGGACCCUCCAGAAGUACAAAAACAACUAUAUGAUAGGGAUCUUUUAUUGACUCAUUUGAGAGAUAAUCUUAACAGGUCCCAACAACAAAUGAAACACUACGCAGACAAAAAGAAAAGGGAUGUGUAGUUUAAGGUGGGAGGUGAGGUAUUGGUAAAAUUACAGCCUUACCGACAACACUCUGUGAGCCUGCAAAAGAACCACAAACUGUCAAUGCGAUAUUUUGGCCCCUUUAAGGUAGUAGCCAAUGUGGGCGUUGUUGUUUACAAACUGCAGUUGCCGGACAAAAACCAAGAUACGUUCCAUGUUUCACAGUUAAAGGCUUUCUCUGGGACUGCCAAAGAACCGUAUCUACCAUUUUCAUUGACCACAACCGCUAUGGGUCCGGUUUUGAUGCCUACUGCCAUCCUACGCACCAUAACUGUGAUCACUAAUGGUAAGAGGGUGAACCAUGGCUUGAUUCAAUGCCCAGAAUCCGAAGCAACGUGGGAAGAGUUGGAGGGUUUAAAAGACCAUUAUCCUUUUUUAUCCUUGAGGAUAAGGUUCCUUUUAAUGGGGAAGGUGAUGUAACAGACUCAGGUUAUGCACCGCUUCUAGUAGUAGAGCAAGAACAAUACACAAAUAAUAUAAAAAAUAAUUAAGCCAAACUUGAUUUCUGUAACUCGAUAAUUUCUCUUGGAUAUUAUCCUGCUCGAAUUAUAGAACUACAGAAAUGGUAGAACUUUCAUGAUCUAGAAAGAAAAAAAUUGGACCUAACAUAAAAAAUGACAAACACUAUAACCAUCAUUAAGCUGAUCUAUUAGAAUACUCCUUAACCAAUGCUGCAAAAAGUGAAGGCCUUUCAAGCAAACGUGAUGGCUUGUCAUAUUCCUUUGCAAAACCUGCCAAAAAUAUCAAAUACCCCACAAUUCAUUAUUCAACCAAUCUAACUCUAUAUUUAUUUCAUACAAUAAUUGCAUUAUUUAAAGACAGAAACACUUGGGAUUAAAGGUGUGUUCGGUAUUUAAUAUUAAUGUUGCACGACAUAUAUCAUUAGUGUCUUUGUUGUGUCCGGUUUGAAUGUAAAUGUGUUUAUGUUCCAGUUUGUUAUGAAAACAUAUAGAUAUAUAACAUAAAGAUACCUGCAUCUAUGACCAAAACCCUGUCACAAUCCAUAACUGUUGGUAUUCUGUGAGCAAUGCUAAUAAUUGUACGAUCUGCAAAAUCCUCUCUGAUGAUCUUUUGUAUUACAGCAUCAGUUUGCGAAUCAACUGAUGCUGUUGCUUCAUCCAUGAAUAAUAUUUUGCUGCGUUUUAACAUGAUCCUUCCCAAGCAUAGAAGUUGCCUUUGCCCCACACUCCAAUUGUCUCCACCAUCAACCACUAACAAAAUAGUAUAAUAAACACAUUUCAGCUCAUACAUUCUUAUAACAUUCGAUUAAACUAUUUAAAAUACGUUCUUAUAACAUUCGAUUAAACUAUUUAAAAAGAAGUCUCUGAAGGUUUAGCAUUCGAUCCCUGCUGCUACUGACAAAUUAACCACUAACAUUUGCCUAUAAAAAACAAUGAGAAUAUGAUAUUUAUGAGAAGAGUUUAUUUGAUCACCUAAAGCGUCGAGUUUCUCAGGCUUUGCAGCCACCACUUCUUUCAAUUGGCACCGCUCAAGACUCUGCAGAAACAAAGAUGAACAUUAACAUAUUAACUGAAUUUCAUCCAUGUAUGUAGGAUGUUAUUCUGCACUUUUCUUCUCCCUUUUGCAGUGCACAUAGAAUGAUCCGGUCAAUUAGUGACUACAGGUAAAUCCCAGUUAUACAAUCUUAAUCGGUAAUUUACAAUAUUUUUUUAUUUAUGAUCUUUAAAUUCAGACCUUCUGAUUUCAGUCAAAGGGUCUCCAAUAUAUUGACUACAAUACUACAGAAUUCCCUAACUGUAUAGUACCCUAUGAAGCCCCGAUACCGAUACGAUAUGAUACCGAUACGGCGAUACGGGAAAAUUUUCAAAAUUCCCAAUACGAUACGGCCUCGAUACGUUAUUAAAAAAUUAAAUUUAGAAUUAAUAGUAUAAGUGCACAAUGUAUAAACAUAACUAAAAAUGAUAAUAAACAAACAUUCACAUUAAUGAAAAUGAUCAAAACAAGUGACAAUUACAUAUUUUUUCCGCACAAAUUAGAUAGAAUAUAGCUAAAUAUCAUUAGUAUCAUCCAAAGAGAACAUCAUAAGUACUAUAAAAAAAAAAGAACAUUUUUGUCUAAUGUUGACUACUUAACAGUUAACACUAAUUUAUAUCGAAAACAAACAGCAAAGAAACAUAACAUUAGAGAGAAGAGAAACAAAGUAGAAUUCAAUCACCGGUAAUGGUUAGAAGAGAGAAUAACUAUUGGCUAUUGCUAUGUGGUGACGAGAAACCCUAUUUUUUUAGGUUAGAAGAGACAAUAUGAUUUUGAUAGCGCAGCCAGACUUGAUAGGUGUUGGAGUAUAAGUAAGCUGUGUCGGAGUGCAAGUUAGUCGUAUCCGACACGUAUCGGUCAUUUUUUUCCUUCAAAAAAUAAAUAUUAAUUGCCCGAUACUUCUCCGAUACGCGUAUCCGACACGUAUCGGUCAUUGUUUUUCAAAAAAAUAAAUAUUAAUUGCCCGAUACUUUUCCGAUACGCGUAUCGGGACGUAUCGGGGCGUAUCGGUAUCGGAUACGUGUCGGAUACGAUACUUCACCAUUUUUGGAGUAUCGGGGCUUUAGAGAUAGUACCUGUUGACAAUCAAUUAAAAACUCAAACCAUAUUAAAAUAAUUUCAGCAAGGGCGUUGUUAUUAUAUGGAUGCUUGAAAGAGCUUAUCUUGUGACAUAAAUACUUAUAUAAGUAUUUUAAAGAUCUUAUGAAAAUAGUUUAUGAUAUAUCCAUUUUUUCGAAGAAGCCAAACUAGCUCGCCGAAAUUGGCACCAGGGAGAAUCGAAAAUAAGACCUUGAGACUCCAUGGUCCCAAGCCAACACCACCAGACCUACCCAAAUGGGUUUAUGCAGAUUCUGCCCUUAUUUCAUCUCCAAUCAUAGAAGCAGCUUGUGUCUAUGAACCACUUAUUGAAUAAGUUAUUUAUCCAAACACUCCUUAUAGACUAUAUGCUCAUGUAAGAAUUUCAUAACAUAAAAAUAAAACAACAAGCAAAUAUGCAGUGUAUUAUAUACCUUCCAAAUUUCUUCUUCUGAAUACAAUCCAAGAGGAUCAAUGUUGGUUCUUACUGUUCCUUGAAAGAGGACAGGCUCUUGUGGAAUAAUUCCAAAACGUGACCUCAAAUCAUGAAGACCAACAUUGGAAAUGUUAAUACCAUCAAUGAUUAUUUUUCCAGCUGAAGGCUCAAUCAACCUAAAUAACACUUGAAUGAGUGUUGAUUUUCCACUUCCUGUACGGCCAACAACGCCAACUUUUUCUCCACCUUCAAUUGUUAGAGAGACUCCCUUAAGAACUAGAGGAGUGUUUGGCCUAUACCUAACCUGCUCACACCAUUUAAUAACGAAAUAUAUUAAAUAUGUACUUAAAGAAUGCAUGUUACUACUGUUUCAAAAAAAAGAAAAUAAUGCAUGUUACUAUGAGAAAUUCUUGAUCAGUACCAUUGCGUAGAAAACUACUACCGUUUACAUUUGGUGUUUCCAAAAAUAAUGGUGUUUCCUGUUUCUAUCUCUACAUCAUAUUUUACUUUUCAACAUUUCAUGCUUCACAAUAUUGCUCAAUUCUGAACUAAACAUAUUGUCCUAAAGAGUAUGCAAAAUAUUUAAAACCUAAGUAACCAACACAUGCUUCUUUUCCCAAAUGGUAUACACUAAUUUCGGUUUAUUUAUGCAGGUUCUCAGUUCUCACCACAUAUUAAAUUGACUAAUCUUGCAAAUAGUAUAUACCUCUAAAUUAUGUAACUCUAUAGUUCCGUGACUAGGCCAAUUCUGAGGAGACUUAUCAGCAAUUUUCCAUGGAGCUUCUGAUGGAAGGUUAGUAAACUGUUUUAUCCUCUCAACAGAAACCAUUUUGUUUUCAACACUGCAAGUCAUUGUUAUGGUAAAUGACAAGAGACCACUCAAAGACAGUCCAUAUGAUAGAGACAAACCAACAUAUUCUGCAAAACCAAAAUUAUAUCCAAGUGGAACAAUUCUUUGUUAGGAAGACAUCUUUCAUAUUUAUCUAAAUAUUAUAAGUAUAAUGAUAUCAAAUUAAUAAAUGAAUGGUUAUGCAUUACAAAAUUCAUUAUUUAUGGCAUGUUUGAAUUGAAAUAUUUGAGCUUAACUACUAGCAUGAGUGCUUGUGAGACUAUUUUGGAGAGCUUAUGGAAACAACUUAUGACAUAUGUAUAAGCUGUUUUCAGCUUAUUUCUAUAGCUUCUCAAAGAUUGCAUAUGAAAAUAAUUUAUAGCUUAUAAGAAAAUAGUUUAUUAUAAUAUAUUAUAGAAAUCGCUUAUACAUAGCACUUGUAUCGUAAGCAUUUAUGUUGGAAGCGCUUAAUAGAUGUGUUUAUCCAAACAGAAGCUUAGUUUUUGUUUAAAAUGUGUGAAAUAGGGUUUUAAAAAAGUCUGUGAUUGCGAUCUUAGUCACGGCAUUAAGAUUUAUAAUGUCUCUGUGACCACUGUGAUUAUCAUCAAAAGGACCAUAACCACAACGUUACUGUGACCGAGUUUUAAAACCUAAGUAUUGACCAUCAUAAUGUGGUUAGAUGAAAAGAUAUGAAAGGGAUUGUACCUGGCUUAACAAUAGCACUUGGCAAAAAGAUCAUAAAAAGGGUGGCAAUGCAAAGGAAAACAACUCCCAUAUAGUCCAAACGAAAACCAAGCCAUUCAUUUGCACCAUUGUUAUGAAAAUCCAUUCUUAGACUUGCAUUCACCCUGUCAAUAUUUUCUUGAGAAAAUGCAUUCUGCUUUCUUAAGCAACGGAUUGUCAUAACACCAGAAAUGGUCUCUGAAAAGUGAUGAAUCACCGGAGCUUUUGUGAUUGAAUCAAGUCGAGUCAAUUCCCUAGAAGUUGCAAGAUAAAAUUUCUGCAAACCAGAACAAUGAGUGUCAAAAUGCACCAGAUAUAGUCUAAAUGAGAGAGCUUAUGACAUGUCUAUAACCUGUUUUCAGUUUGAUUUUCUUUAUUCUGUUGUGAUAGAAACAUCUUAUACAAUAAGCACUUAUGCUAUAAGCGCUUAAUUAAUUUGUUUAUCCAAACAAGACAAAUACUCGGUUACUUUCAAAAUUUCAUGGUCUUCAAACCUAACUCAACUUUACAAAAUCAACUUAUAAUGCAAGUGUAACCCUCACGCCUAGAAUAGACUCCAUUUAUAUAUGGUUGGUUGUGCAUUCUUAUUUUUCAUACUCAUAUUAUGGACAAUUUAUUGUACUACUACUACUACUACUAUUAUUAUUAUUAUAUACUGUUGCUGCAAAUUUAAAUUGGAGUAAGUAUAUCAUACCCUAUACCAGUUGUUGAGCCAAAACAGUGGAAUUAAGAGGAAGACAGUCUCCCAAGAAUUCUGACAUGUGACAAUGAGGAUACUGAAUAAUGAUAAGUAUGCUACCAUUACAAAGUUUACCAACAUUGGAAUUGAUAUAUCAACCCAAAGUAUAUCGGUAGAUACCUAAGCAAUUCAUAAUAAAAGUACAGUUAGAAUUUAGAAAGUCCGAACAAUUUAGAUGGUCAAUGCUGUUCAAAAACAUGGUUAAUUCCGUCUGGUAGAUGGUUAAUGAAUGUAAAGGUGUUGCAACUAAUUAAUCAUCAACAGAGCACAAUUAACCACAAUUUUCAGGUGCAUAUUAAACACAAUUAAACCAAACAUCAAAAGGGAUGUUACGUGAAACUCACACGACUCAAAAUUCUGCCUGAAGGAGUAGUAUCAAAGAAUGACAUUGGUGCGUGAAGGAUACUUUGAAGCAAUCCAAUGAAGAAGCUUUGAGAUGUCUUUAAACCCCAAUAAGUAAACAAGAGAGCUCUCACCAUAACAACUAUGCAUGCAACAACAGCUAUAACAGCAUAGACAGUAAUGAAAGUGAAAGAAGGAAUGCCAGAAUCAUCUGCAGUAGCAAUUGCUAGCCAAUAAUCACCAGCCAAAAAUGACAGCAUCCAAGCCACUGACAUUGCUACCAUGAGUGCUAUUCCCCACCAUCCAAAUGCUUCUGUGAAAUAAUGUUUGUAUACUUUAAGGUUUACACGUCCAGUUUCUCUUUCCUCGUCUUCAAUGAGCUUUGCUGCAGUUUUAUCAGACUUAGGUUUAUCUAGAGAAGACUGCUUUUCUAGCGCGCUUUCUUUUUCUUUCGAAGCGAUGCGAGCUAAUUUUGGAGACUGAGCAGAUUCAUCGCUAGUUUUAUCACUUGUUUCUGCAAUUUCCAUUGAGGAUUCAUGAGCUGCCACAAGUGCACCAAAAUCUAGACCUGCUUUGAGAAGUUCAUCAUACUUUCCACUUUGUACUACUCUCCCUUCACGCAUCACCUUUAAAGUUGGUAUCAAAAUAAGCCAAAUAUAUUAGAUUUGUAUGAAAUUUUUUCCAAAUCCAAGAAAAUAAAUGUUAUAAUAACAGGUAUAUAAGCAUGUGGAUUUGGCUACUCUGAAGUUAGUAUUUCACUUUAGUCGACGAGAAAUCCAAUCGUUGAUAUUCCAACACAUCUAUGAUUUGUUAUGCAUGUGCUCGGAAUACUAAAAGUGAUUUUCUCAUCAACAAUUGAGACCUAAGAUUGCUUAAUUAGAGGAUCAGAAUACUAAUAAAGAUUUUCUCAUCAACAAUUGAGACCUAAGACUAAGAUUGCUUAAUUAGAGGAUCAAAAUCCAAUAGAGAUAUGAAUAAAAUAUGUGUGCGUGUGUGUGUAAAUAAUGCAAUUUAUUUUUCCAAAUUUUUGGUGAUAUCAUAAUAAAAUACAUAUAUCAUACCAUUAUAGAGUCAACAUUAUGCAAGAAAUCAACUUGGUGGGUUACAAGUAAAACAGUCUUAUCUUUGAGAGCUCCCAUGAUACAUUCCUGUAACAAGAUUGAAAAAAAUCAGGUAUUCAUCAUUUAUGAUGGAAUCAAAUAUCAUUUUGAUUGAUAUAAUAUAUUGUUUCUAAUUAUUAUUUACUCAAUAUUGUUUCUAAUCUUAAAAACAUUACAUCACUAAAAACUAAAUAUAGAACUAUUUAACACUGCUUGUAACUUAUAAGUUGUAAAUUUUUGCUUACCUUAAAAAUAAAUGAUCCUGUUUCAGCAUCAACAGCACUGAAUACAUCAUCAAGGAGAUAGAUGUCAGUGUCAUGAUAUACAGCUCUAGCAAGUUGUACCCGUUGUUUCUGGCCACCACUGAGGUUAAUACCUCGCUCUCCAAUCUCAGUUUCAUCACCAUCUUCCAUCAUUUCAAGAUCCUUUUCAAGGCAGCACACUCUUAAAGUUUCCCUGUACUUUUCCAAGUUCAUUGGUAAGCCAAACAAUAUGUUUUCUUUGAUGGUUGCAUUCUGAAUCCAUGAUGUUUGUGCUACAUAUGCCGUCGUCCCACAAACUCUGACCUGUAAGAUUUUACAAGUAAUGAUCAUAAUUGUAAAAGAUAAAAGUAAAUUUUCACAGCACAUUCACAAAACAAUAAAAUGUUUUCGAACACAUUUGAAAGUAUAGUCAUGAAUUCUUGUAACGAAAAAAUUGCACCGACUGAAACAGUCUCAAAUGUUUAUGUCAAUAGAUAAGCUCAAAUAAGCCAUUACAAACAGGCCCUACGGUUGAUAAGCACGGUUAAUUCUUUCCCAUGUGUCUUACAUGAUGAUGAACAGAACAACCUUGAGAAUGCAAUGAAUUUAAAUAUCAUAUGAUAUCCAUGAGUAUAAUACUAUUGUAGGAUAUGUGACUUAUACUUUUUUUGAAUAUGAUCAUGAAUGAAUUAAUACCAAGGUUUUAGGUUGUAACUCACAGUAGAAAAUUGUGGACAAAUGCGGCUAUGUGAUCCAAAAUGCUGUUGCAGAUAAUGUUUUGGCCACUAUUACAGUUUUUAACAACAAUUUCUAACCUUAUUGUUACAAAUCUUUUUUGCAACAAAUACUAAUCUUUAGCAGAAGAAAAUAACUUGAAGUGCAAAAAAAUAAAUAAACUGCAUGAGUCCAAAGCAAAGCAUAGCAUACCUUUCCUGAGAUCUUGAACAUUUCUCCCAACACAGAAGCCAAUAAUGAAGACUUGCCUGAACCAACAGUUCCUACAAUAGCAGCACGGUCCCCUUUCUUAAUUACCAACUCUUCCACUGUCAACGCCUCAUUCUCAUCCUUAUCAUCCCAUGAAAAUUUCCCAUCUUUUAUCUCCACGGCUACAUCACCAUCACAAUUCUCCUCUCUUUGCACUGCAUUCUCAUCCAUUUCCUUACUCACCAUGAACUCAUCCAACCUCCCUAAAGAUAUUGUUGCUUGAGAAAUCAUUAUAAGAGCUUGCGGGAAAGUCCUCACAGGCUCUUGAAGAAUCUUGAUAAUCGAAGUUAUUGUAAAUACAGUGCCGGCAUUCAAAGGAAUUCCAAUUAAAGUUGAAGUUCCAAAGGUAAGAACAGUUACAGCUAAUGGGGCAGUACCCAAAACUCCUAUGUUAACUGCAAAAUAGUACAAGAAUUUCGCAAUCCAUCCAUGCUCAGCUUCGCGAAACUGUUGAAUUUUGUUACCAAAGUACUCUUCCCACGCUUGAAACUUAAUCACACGCAUGUUGUUAAGUAACUCGUUUGUCGCCUUCAUCCUCGAAUCGCGGCUCGUCAUUAUCUUAAACUGGAAACUAUUACUACUCUUCGUUCGAUAGAGUGUGAAGAGAAACACUAUGCUAGUUCCAAACACUGCUGCAAGUACUGAUAGACCAACAUAGCUGUACAUAAGAGCCAAUGCAGCACCAACUUGCAAUGGCAUCAACCAUAUAGGAUGAAACUGCAUCAUCAAAUCUGAGAGCUGUUGAGCAUCAACAGCCAUGUGAUUAACAAUUUGGCCAGUUCCAUGAGCUUGUCUUGAAGAACUUGACAACCUUAAACCCUUUUUGUAAACUGAAGUGAUUAUGCUCGAACGAAUAAGCAUACCGAGUUUUUGAGAGUGGAAGUUAAAUUGAUGAACACUAAGUACUUCAACUGAUUUUGCUGCAAAAAGGACACAUAUCAAAACAAUACCUUCACUAGUCGUACUAUCUUUCCUUGAUGUGAAAUCAACAAAACUUUGAAUCAACAAGGGACCAACAUACAUAACACAAAGCCUAAUGACUGCAAUGAAGCCCGUGAAAGCUAUUUGUUUCCAAAAACACCUAAAAAGGGUAACUCCAACUGGAUGCUUACUGUUUUCCUCUGGUUUUGGCCAAUUGCUUUGAAAAAGUUCAGACAUUUUUUCUGCUCUAAAAUCAAGAGGAAGUGAAGGUACAUCUUCUAGUUUAAGGGGUGUUUUGUAACCUUUAUUGAGUAAAGGGUUCAUCCAAAACCACCCUGUUUUAGACAAAAAUGACGAACAAGCAUAAGGACUCAAAGUUCUAUCGGUCGAAAUUGACCGAUAUGUUGCUACUACAUCGGAUAUUCUUAUCACGUGAAUACCUGAUGACCCUUUUACGGAUAUCACAAAAAAGAACACAGAUAAUGGAAGAUUAACCAAUGAGAAUAUAUCAUCUAUUUUCAAACUAAGCUCCAACUUUUCUUCACCGACAGUUAUCAAUCGAACAAUAGCUGAAGCAGCAAACAAAGUUGCAAUUACAAAGUUUGCUAUCCAAUAGAUUCUUAGUGAUAAAGGGUGUUUGGAAGAUUUGAACUUUUUCUCAUGUACCAUUAGUAUCACUAUCACUAUGUUGGUUAUUGCUUGAAACAACCGAAAAAGUGCUUCUAUUUGUUUCCAUGAAGAAAGUUUAUUGGUUUGAGUAAAAGCCAAGAUUCCUAGAACAGUGUAACUUAUAGCCAAAAGGGUAGUUACCAAAAAGGCUAGUUUGAACCAAAAGGUGAUUCUAUAGUCAGAAUCUUUGUCCUGCAGAAGUGGUUUUGUGAUUGAGGAGCUAGUGUUUGCUCUUGAAUAGAAUCUUGAAUAGAGUUUUUGAGCUGCAAAAGCUAAGAGAAAGAGCAAAAACAAGGAAUCAAGAGCAGAAACAAGAAGUCUCUGAGGACAUGGAGAUAGCAAAAUGA
rnacentral:lncRNA from 1 species